AUUGCUGUGGCUGUGGUAUAAGCCAGCAGUUGCAUAUAUGAUUUGACCCUUAGCCUGGGAACUUCCAUAUAAUGUUCCUGUGGCCCAAAAAAGAAAAAAAAAAGUGAAGGCUAUUGCCUGAAUGACAACAAAAGAAUAGUAGGGAACCAAUAAAUGUCUACUCUUUCAUGUAAAAUAGAGAAUAAAGAUACUUACCUAGAUAUUUUAAUCAUUUAGCUCUAUUGUAGUUGUAAAUUUUAAUAGACUUUAUUAUUGAGAACAGAUUUAAGUUCUUAGCAAAAUGGAAUGGCAGCUACAGAGAUUUCCCAUAUUCCCCUCUGCAUCCAUUGAUUCAUAGCCUCCCCUUUUAUCAACACCACCCCACUAUAGUGAUACAUUUGUAACAAUUGAUGAGCCUGAAGUGACACAUCAUUAUCACCCAAAGUCCAUGGCUUACACUAGGGUUUACUCUUGGUAUUUUGCCUUCUAUGGGUCUAGACAAAUGGUUGAUAAUGUGUCUCCACCAUUGUAUCACACAGUAUUUUCAUGACCUAAAAAUCCUUUGUGCUCUAUCUAUUCAUCCCUCCCUCCCACUAGGCAAACACUUAUCUUCUUACUCUCUCCUUAAUUUUACCCUUUCUGCAAUGUCAUUUGGGUGGAAUCAUAUAGUAAGUAGCCUUUUAAGAUUGACUUUUUUUCUUAGUAAUAUGCAUUUAAGUUUCAUCUAUGUCUAUCCGUGGGUUGCUGUAGCUGCCAGAGUACGCCAGAGCGACAGCAACUCAGGAUCUGAGCUGCAUUGGCCACCUACACCAUAGCUCAUGGCAAACCAAGAUCCUUAACCCACUGAACGAAGCCAGGGAUUGAAUCCGCAUCCUCAUGGAUACUAGUCGGGUUCAUUAACCACUGAGCUAGGACAGGAACUCCUAUACUAUUGUUUUUAAUUUGCAUUUUCACCGAGGACAUAGAAUGUGAAGCAUGUUUUCAUAUGCUUAUUUGCCAUUUUCUUUGAUGAGAUAACUGUUAAGGCCUUUGACCUAGUUUUUAAUUGGGUUGUUUUUUUUCUUAUUGUUUUCUUUCGCGUAUUUUGGAUAGCAGUCCUUUAUCAGAUAUCUUUGCAAAGGUAUUCUGUCAGUCUGUGUCUUAUAUUAUUAUUCUCUUAAUAGUGUCCUUUGCAUAAAAGAACUUUUUGAUUUUAAUGAAGUCCAGUUUAUCAAGGCUUUCUUCCAUGGAUCAUGCCAUUGGUGUCAUAUUCCAAAAAGUCAUCCUCGAAUCCAAGGUCAUUUAGAUGUUCUCCUAUGUUAUUUCCUAAGAGUUUCACGGUUAUUUUGCCUUUGAAGCAUAGGUCUGUGAUCCAUUUUUGAGUUCAUUUUUAUGAAGGGUGUUAGGUUUAUGUCUAGAUUCAUUCGUUUAUUUAUUUAUUUACUUGCCUGUAGAUGUCCACUUAAUUGACCACCAUUUAUUGCAAAGACUUUAUUGUAUGGCUUUGCUCUUGUGUCAGAGAUCAGUUGACUAUACAUCCAUGCGUUUAUUUCUAGGCUCUCUAUUCUAUUACCCCUAUUAUAUUUGCAUUUAUGCUGAUCAUCAUGGUCUUUUCUUAUACUUGCUGAGUUGGCAUCAAUCAGGACCCUCAUAGUUAAAAUUAUGCUGAAGGAUUUUUAACCCUUAAAGUAUAUUUUGAUCUAUAAUUCUAGGUUUAAGUAGUCAAUACGGAAGUACUUUUUAACUGAAGCCACUAUUUUAUUUUUAACAUGGUGCUGCUUGUACAUCUGGCAGCCUGCAGAUAGCUGGAAACAGUUUGGAUGUCCUUGAAAUGAAAAAUAAUCACAUGGUUAUAAUCUCUGGAUUUCUCUUUGGAUUUAUCCAAGUCAAGAAGGUUGAGACAGAAAUAAUUAUUUUCCAAACAUCUUCCCCAAGCUGCAUUCCUUUUCUUUGGUUUAUUGCACAGGUGUAUCUCCACAUACAGAUGUAGGCCUUUUAAAAAUGGUCCCCGGUUUAUUGGGAAUCUAAUACUGACUUUGUUAAGAAAAUAUAACCUACUAAUUGUCUUGCAAACAUCCAGUUUUUUUUUUUUUUGGCAUAAUCUUUAUGAUUAAACAUAUGUAAGUUAAAAAAAAAAAAAGGAACUUAACUACUUAGAUUCUAAGAGAUUCCAAAUGGGAAAUUAAACAUUGAUUAUUAUGCUUCUUUAACAGAUUGUAGAAGGCAUUUGUUUGGGAGGUGUCCAAAUGAUAAUAGAUACAGAACAACAGGGGCCAGAUGACUCUAAAGCAUAAUAAAUAAAGAUGGGAAACAAGACUUGAUUUAAACUAGCAAACAUGUAAUGAUUUAGUGUUCUCCAAAGUAUGUUCUUAGGACACUAAUUCUGCAAGUGUUGCUUGAUCAGACAAGUGGGGAAAUGCUGCAUUCUGUAUUCUCCUCUUGGAAAUUAAAAAUGAACAUUGUCAUAGUAAGUUUUCUGAAAGGUCACAUGUUAAAAAUAAUACUAAACCCUGUUCAACUCUUAAGAUGGGAUUUCUUAAACUUACUUUGACCUCAGAACUGUUUGCAUAAACAGCUAUUAACAUCUUAGAGCUUAUAGGACCACAGAACAAAUUUGGAAAAAUAUGUUAACCUUUUCACAAUGUUUUUAAAAAGCCACAAUGUUGUGUCCUGAUUAAAAAAAAAAAAAUCCACAGAAUGUAUGCUGUUCUCAGUUUAGUCAAUAGAAUAGGGGACUUUUUAUAUACAAAUAUUAUCGAAAGUAAGUAUCCACUCACAUUUCCCAGGUAAAAGGAAAGGAUAAUUUUCCUGGAAAAAGCAGCAUGAACACUUGCCAAGCCCUUGCAUAAAUUAGUGUUUAUUAUUAUAAAUGAUAAAUACUUUAGCCAUUGAGAGAGAAUUUCUUUUGCUUUAUUCCCAAAUUUGCAAUGAAAACCAUACUUAAAUAAUUCCUUUUGUAAUAUACUCCUGCAAAGUAAAAUUGUCUUUAAAAUUAACCUUUUCUAACAUAUAAUUUUCACAAUUAAUUCCUGACAAAGCAGAAUAUGAAAAGAAAAACAAACCUCACUCAUAUCCAUUGUGAUCUGUAUGGAGUUUAUUCUAUGUGGUAGGAACUACUGGUUAAUUUAGCUAAUUUCUCAGAAGAGCUGAUGGGGAAAUUUUAUCUUACUUAAGUUGGUAUAUUUGGUUGUCAUAUGCUAAUAGACAAUAAUUUUGAUAUAACUUUAAAUUAUAUAAUUUCAUUACAAUUUAUGUCUUCUUAGCUUAAAAAUAAUUGCCUUUCUCCUAAAUGAACACCACAUAAUUUUUUAGUUGAAUCUGAAAAGUGAUUUUGCUAAAGAAACUCACUGGCAACUAGCUGAAUAUGAGGGAUGGAGUCCCUGUUUUCAACCAGCAAACUAUCAAAGCCAUAUGCAAAAUCUGAGGAAGGAAGAUGUAGGCCCAGGAAGAACUCUUCAUGUGAGGACCCUGUAAAUGCAAGAAAAACAAUUUUAAACCACAGAAGGUCCAAAUGAUAAAUGAGAAUAGAGUAUCAAUAGUACAUUGUUACAAAAUAAUGUUCUCAUACCAAUAAAUGGAAAAGUACCAAAAUCAAACCUACCAAGGUUACUUUUCAAAAUAAUGCUAUUCUAAAAGAAAAUGAACUCAUAAUUUGGAAAAGCCACACACUAUGAAACACAGAGAGAAAUAACCCACUCUUCUGCUACCAAAAACUGCAAUAUUUUGAAACAUUUCAUUCUGGUUCGUCUCUCAUUUUUUCACUGAGCGUAGACUCUAUGUAUUUUGCCAAGCCAAUUUAAAGUAAAAUGAACAUCCUUUUAGUAGUGGCAUAAUAUGCCCUCCCAUGACCAAACCAGAAGAGUAUUUUUCUCAAUUAAAAUAAACUUCCAUUGUCAUUUUGUGUUUAUCCCCUGAGAAUAAGAGCAGGCUCAGUGUAGGAAGGGCUCACAGCAGCCCUUUGUUUGCAUACUAUGUGUGGAUUUCAAGAUGACUGAGGUCUGUUAGGAAUCUUUCCUAGAAAAAAAUCAUCCAAACAUCUUCCCUUCAUUUCCUUCCUGAAUUCUCUCAUCAAGGCAUAGAAAGGAAAAGACAGUAUGAGAGAGUCUAAAACUUCUCUUCCGAGUGGUCGCAGCACAGAAUAGUGCAUUGUGAAAUCCAGCAAGAGAAACAAUUUCCGAUAAAGAAAUUGCACCUGCCAAAUAAACCUGAAACACGUUAGAUUUGAUCUAAGCCACACAUCUCCCACACUUAGUGGCCCACUUUUGAAGGCCCCUUCCCUGGCCCUCUCCCCUCCCCCACCCUUGUCCCUCUCCCACCCUCAGGACUCUCAUCCACAGGGCACGUGUCUACAUCUUGUCUCUACUCCAGUUGGAAUCGUGCCUUCACAAUAUUUUAUUGACAUACACGUUUGACAAUUUCACUCUCUGCCUGAGUCUCACAAUCACUUUUCAAGCAUAAAUCCCUGGAAAGACCGUUUAUGUUUCUCUUGAAUCUCAACCCAUCCAAAAUAGGCAGCCAAAUGUGAUUUUGUGUGUGACAUAUUUUCAAUAUUUAUAAACCUUAGACACUGGUCUCACAUGCAGGGAUAAUAAGAAUACUUUUUUGUUUUGUUUUCUGCUAAUGUCUUGACCAUGCUAUUUCUAACCAUUAAUCUUUGGAUGUCAC
rnacentral:lncRNA from 1 species